ACCUGGGAAGUGCAUUGGAUACUGUAAGACUUGAAUACGGGAGAGGNCAGUGGAAUUCCUAGUGUAGGAGUGAAAUCCGUAGAUAUUAGGAGGAACACCGGUGGCGAAGGCGGCUGCCUGGACCGAUAUUGACGCUGAGACGCGAAAGCGUGGGUAGCAAACAGGAUUAGAUACCCUGGUAGUCCACGCCGUAAACGAUGAGUACUAGGUGUUGCGG
rnacentral:rRNA from 1 species